CAAUAGCGUAUAUUAAAGUUGUUGCGGUUAAAAGCUCGUAGUUGGAGUUCUGCCAGGUGCCGUCUGUCCGCCCCAGUGGUGAGUACGUGACGCGCAUUUGGCCCUUUCAAGGGGAGCGUAUCUGCACUUUACUGUGUGGUGCGGGAUCCUUGACUUUUACUUUGAGGAAAUAGGAGUGUUCCAAGCAGGCUCUCGUCGUGCACAGCUCAGCAUGGAAUAAUAGCAUUGGACCUCGAUUCUAAGCUGUUGGUUGCCAGAAGCGAGGUAAUGAUGAAGAGGGAUAGUUGGGGGCAUUCGUAUUUCGUUGUCAGAGGUGAAAUUCUUGGAUUUACGAAAGACGAACAACUGCGAAAGCACUUGCCAAGAGUGUUUUCAUUAAUCAAGAACGAAAGUUAGAGGAUCGAAGAUGAUUAGAUACCGU
rnacentral:rRNA from 1 species